rnacentral:tRNA from 1 species
GCAGAUGUGGCGGAAUCGGCAGACGCGCUAUCUUGAGGGGGUAGUGAAGGUAUCUUCGUAUGGGUUCAAGUCCCAUCAUCUGCACCA